UGCAAAUCACGCGACACAGCUACUUAAACUGAAAUUAUCCUCUUUACAUUGGAGAAAAGUAUUGUCCCGUUAUUUUGUUUCAGUUUAAGAACAUACAAAACACGUUAAUAAGGUGAUGGAGUCUGCGUCCGCUGGCGGCGCGGAGGAGGACAGUAGUGCUGCGGUGAAAGUAGAGCGGAAGGGCUGGUUGUCCAAACGCAGCCGCUUCACGAGCCGCUGGAGACGGACGUGGUUCGAGCUGAAAGACGGUCAGCUGCUGUACGGACGGAGCGAGGAGUGACGUCAUCCUGCAUGAGUGGGUGUGAAUAAAAAAGUCAGCCAGUUAAACCUUCACAGAUCUUUAAACAUCCCCUCUCAUCCACCUUAAACCUCGUGUUUCUCAGCCAAACCGAGGUCCUGUUGGUUUGAACUUGUGAAUGAUCCUUCCCUGCAUCCAUGUCCCACCCAAACUUCCUGUUCCAACAGGAAAUACAUCAGAUCCAGACAGUGGGAGUCCCUGUCAUGGGCUCUUUAAAGGGAAGCCGUCAGGUGUAACCAGAGCAGCCACGUGGCGUGUCCUGUUUGAUUGCAGAAGCCGGUGAAGAGCAUCGACCUGACGGGGGCGGUGCUGGAGACCGAGGAGGGUCCCGGGACCUUUGGGUGGACGAUCACAACCAGAGACAGUAAACGCACCUUCCACCUGCGGGCCGGCAGCGCGGCGGAGCAGAACAGCUGGAUGGUGUGUGUGUGUGAGGCUCAGAUCAGGUCCACCCCGCAGGGCGCCAACGCUUGUGUACUGCAGUAGCAAACAGCUCAGUGGACCCACUGCAUUUUUUAUUCGUUAUUUAUUUAUUUAUUUUUAAAAUAGAUGGUUUUCUAUUGUUUUUAUACACAGCUUUGUAUAUUGUAGCUCUGCUGGAUGUGUGGCAGUGUGUCGCUAAAAGGUGAAACAGCAAUAAACCAGAUUUUAUGAAA